UUGCCAGCCGCCGCGGUAAUACGUAGGGAGCGAGCGUUAUCCGGAUUUAUUGGGCGUAAAGGGUGCGUAGGCGGCUUAUUAAGUAUAGAAUUAAAGCCCGGAGCUUAACUCCGGUUCGUUCUAUAAACUGGUAGGCUUGAGUAAGGUAGAGGCAAAUGGAACUUUUAGUGUAGCGGUGAAAUGCGUAGAUAUUAGAAGGAACACCAGUGGCGAAAGCGAUUUGCUGGGCCAUUACUGACGCUGAGGCACGAAAGCGUGGGGAGCAAAUAGGAUCAGAUACCCUAGUAGUCCACGCCCUAAACGAUGAGUACUAAGUGUUGGGGCAACCCAGUGCUGAAGUUAACACAUUAAGUACUCCGCCUGAGUAGUACGGUCGCAAGGCUGAAACUCAAAGGAAUUGACGGGCACCCGCACAAGCGGUGGAGCAUGCUGUUUAAUUCGAAGAUACUCGAAGAACCUUACCUAGGCUUGACAUCCCGCUGACCGCUCUGGAAACAGAGUUUUCUCCUUCGGGAGGCAGCGGUGACAGGUGGUGCAUGGUUGUCGUCAGCUCGUGUCGUGAGAUGUUCGGUUAAGUCCGAUAACGAGCGCAACCCUUAUCUUUAAUUGCUAACAUUCAGUUGAGAACCUUAAAGAUACUGCCGGUGACAAACCGGAGGAAGGUGGGGAUGACGUCAAAUCAUCAUGCCCCUUACGUCUAGGGCUACAGGCGUGCUAUAAUGGCAGAUAUAAUGAGUCGCAAUACCGUGAGGUGGAGCUAAUCUCCAAAGUCUGUCUCAGUCCGGAUUGAAGUCUGCAACUCGACUUCAUGAAGUUAGAAUCGCUAGUAAUCCCAAAUCAGAAUGUUGGGGUGAAUACGUUCCCGGGUGUUGUACACACCGCCCGU
rnacentral:rRNA from 1 species